UUUAACAUUGUUUUGUCAGAA
ensembl:piRNA 21ur-10559 ncRNA